rnacentral:rRNA from 1 species
AGGUGGACUCUAUAAUGCAGUCGAGCGACAGACGAGGAGCUUGCUCCUCUGACGUUAGCGGCGGACGGGUGAGUAACACGUGGAUAACCUACCUAUAAGACUGGGAUAACUUCGGGAAACCGGAGCUAAUACCGGAUAAUAUAUUGAACCGCAUGGUUCAAUAGUGAAAGACGGUUUUGCUGUCACUUAUAGAUGGAUCCGCGCCGCAUUAGCUAGUUGGUAAGGUAACGGCUUACCAAGGCAACGAUGCGUAGCCGACCUGAGAGGGUGAUCGGCCACACUGGAACUGAGACACGGUCCAGACUCCUACGGGAGGCAGCAGUAGGGAAUCUUCCGCAAUGGGCGAAAGCCUGACGGAGCAACGCCGCGUGAGUGAUGAAGGUCUUCGGAUCGUAAAACUCUGUUAUUAGGGAAGAACAAAUGUGUAAGUAACUAUGCACGUCUUGACGGUACCUAAUCAGAAAGCCACGGCUAACUACGUGCCAGCAGCCGCGGUAAUACGUAGGUGGCAAGCGUUAUCCGGAAUUAUUGGGCGUAAAGCGCGCGUAGGCGGUUUUUUAAGUCUGAUGUGAAAGCCCACGGCUCAACCGUGGAGGGUCAUUGGAAACUGGAAAACUUGAGUGCAGAAGAGGAAAGUGGAAUUCCAUGUGUAGCGGUGAAAUGCGCAGAGAUAUGGAGGAACACCAGUGGCGAAGGCGACUUUCUGGUCUGUAACUGACGCUGAUGUGCGAAAGCGUGGGGAUCAAACAGGAUUAGAUACCCUGGUAGUCCACGCCGUAAACGAUGAGUGCUAAGUGUUAGGGGGUUUCCGCCCCUUAGUGCUGCAGCUAACGCAUUAAGCACUCCGCCUGGGGAGUACGACCGCAAGGUUGAAACUCAAAGGAAUUGACGGGGACCCGCACAAGCGGUGGAGCAUGUGGGUUUAAUUCGAAGCAACGCGAGAACCCUUACCAAAUCUUGACAUCCUCUGA